rnacentral:rRNA from 1 species
GACGAACCGUGCGAACGUUGUUCGGAAUAACUGGGCUUAAAGGGCGCGUAGGCGGGUGCUCAAGUCCGUGGUGAAAUCCUCCGGCUCAACCGGAGAACUGCCUCGGAUACUGGGUGCCUCGAGGGUGGUAGGGGUAUGCGGAACUAUCGGUGGAGCGGUGAAAUGCGUUGAUAUCGACCGGAACUCCGGUGGCGAAGGCGAGGUGCUGGGCCCUUUCUGACGCUGAGUGCGCGAAAGCCAGGGGAGCAAACGGG